UCGACCGAUUGGCAUUGGCAUCGCGAAGGAAGAUGGCGGCGGCUUUCAAGACGUAGAAUGUUGAGGUGUCGAAUUCUACCGAACUUUACGUUGUGAAUGCCAAACGGCGUGGUAAAAGCUGCUGGGAUCUGUCACGGACGCCGGAUCAUCUACCUGGAAGACACACCUCUAUGACCUCCUUUUGCGAGCGCCUUUACAUGUACUACGGAUUCCGGUUGGAUCCGUGCUCGACCAACAGUGAAUCAAACUCGUGUCUUGUGAAAUGCUGCAACCAUGGAGGGACCACAAUAGCCUUACGUCAAGCCCCGGAUCAGAUGCAGUGCAUAGGCUUCAGCCACUGCUACAAAGGAAAAUGUGGAAAAUUUCACUCGUACACAGGGAAACAUGCGUCCACAACAUCUGCAGCGCCCUAGUGACCAUCUCGCUAACAACGCGUAUUACGCUUGUUUUCAGAAAGAAUAAACGUUCGUUCUCCA